rnacentral:rRNA from 1 species
AUUGAACGCUGGCGGCAGGCUUAACACAUGCAAGUCGAACGAGUGGCGGACGGGUGAGUAAUGUAUGGGGAUCUGCCUGAUGGAGGGGGAUAACUACUGGAAACGGUAGCUAAUACCGCAUACCAUCAGAUGAACCCAUAUGGGAUUGGCUUGUAGUGGAGGUAACGGCUCACCUAGGCGACGAUCCCUAGCUGGUCUGGACGGAUGAUGAGCCACACGGGGACUGGGACAGGGCCAAGACUCCUACGGAAGGCAGAAGUGGGGAAUAUUGGACAAUGGGCGCAAGCCUGAUGCAGCCAGGCCGCGUGUAUGAAGAAGGCCUUAGGGUUGUAAAGUACUUUCAGCGGGGAGGCGUUACCCGCAGAAGAAGCACCGGCUAACUCCGUGCCAGCAGCCGCGGUAAUUC